rnacentral:tRNA from 1 species
GACCCCAUCGUCUAGUGGUUAGGACGGAACCCUUUCACGGUUCAAACACGGGUUCGAAUCCCGUUGGGGUCGCCA